UUCCGGUUGAUCCUGCCGGAGGCCAUUGCUAUCGGAGUCCGAUUUAGCCAUGCUAGUCGUGCGAGUUCAGACUCGCGGCACCGAGCUCAGUAACACGUGGCCAAACUACCCUGUAGAGACGUAUAACCUCGGGAAACUGAGGCUAAUCCGUCAUACCGGUUGAACGGUUGAAACCCAUCAACCUCUAAACGCCCCGGCGCUACAGGAUGUGGCUGCGGCCGAUUAGGUUGACGGUGGGGUAACGGCCCACCGUGCCAAUAAUCGGAACAGGUUGUGAGAGCAAGAACCUGGAGACGGCAUCUGAGACAAGAUGCCGGGCCCUACGGGGCGCAGCAGGCGCGAAACCUUUACACUGCACGCACGUGCGAUAAGGGGACUCCGAGUGCGAGGGCAUAUCGUCCUCGCUUUUGUGUACCGUAGGGUGGUACACGAACAAGGGCUGGGCAAGACCGGUGCCAGCCGCCGCGGUAAUACCGGCAGCCCGAGUGAUGGCCGAUCUUAUUGGGCCUAAAGCGUCCGUAGCUGGGUCUGAAAGUCCAUCGGGAAAUCCACUCGCUCAACGAGUGGUCGUCCGGUGGAAACUCCACACCUUGGGACCGGAAGGCUCGAAGGGUACGGCCGGGGUAGGAGUGAAAUCCUGUAAUCCCGUCCGGACCACCGAUGGCGAAAGCACUUCGAGAAAACGGAUCCGACAGUGAGGGACGAAAGCUAAGAUCGCGAACCGGAUUAGAUACCCGGGUAGUCUUAGCCGUAAACAAUGUUCGUUAGGUAUGA
rnacentral:rRNA from 1 species